AAUAAGGUGCCUGAUUAAAAGGGCUAUUUUGAUGUGAUAGAAAAUAGCGGUUCUUUCGCUCCUUAUUA
rnacentral:tRNA from 1 species